rnacentral:rRNA from 1 species
UAGGGAAUCUUCGGCAAUGGGGGGAACCCUGACCGAGCAACGCCGCGUGAGUGAAGAAGGUUUUCGGAUCGUAAAGCUCUGUUGUUAAGGAAGAACGAGUGUGAGAAUGGAAAGUUCAUACUGUGACGGUACUUAACCAGAAAGGGACGGCUAACUACGUGCCAGCAGCCGCGGUAAUACGUAGGUCCCGAGCGUUGUCCGGAUUUAUUGGGCGUAAAGCGAGCGCAGGCGGUUAGAUAAGUCUGAAGUUAAAGGCAGUGGCUCAACCAUUGUAGGCUUUGGAAACUGUUUAACUUGAGUGCAGAAGGGGAGAGUGGAAUUCCAUGUGUAGCGGUGACAUGCGUAGAUAUAUGGAGGAACACCGGUGGCGAAAGCGGCUCUCUGGUCUGUAACUGACGCUGAGGCUCGAAAGCGUGGGGAGCGAACAGG